GCUAGCUCUGUUAACACAUUCUUAGUGAAUCCAAGUUAAUGUUACCACCAAGAACCACCCAGUAAGUUACAUGGCUAUAAUAUGAGGCUACCCUGAAGG